GAUCAUGGCUCAGGACGAACGCUGGCGGCGUGCCUAACACAUGCAAGUCGAACGGGGUACCCUGAAGCGAGGCUUCGGCCAAGCGGAAGGACUACCUAGUGGCGGACGGGUGAGUAACGCGUGAGCAACCUGCCUUUCAGAGGGGGACAACAGUUGGAAACGACUGCUAAUACCGCAUAAAAUCAUAGGAUGGCAUCAUCUAAUGAUCAAAGAUUUAUCGCUGAAAGAUGGG
rnacentral:rRNA from 1 species